rnacentral:rRNA from 1 species
AUUGAACGCUGGCGGCAGGCCUAACACAUGCAAGUCGAGCGGAUGAAGGGAGCUUGCUCCUGGAUUCAGCGGCGGACGGGUGAGUAAUGCCUAGGAAUCUGCCUGGUAGUGGGGGGUAACGUCCGGAAACGGGCGCUAAUACCGCAUACGUCCUGAGGGAGAAAGUGGGGGAUCUUCGGACCUCACGCUAUCAGAUGAGCCUAGGUCGGAUUAGCUAGUUGGUGGGGUAAAGGCCUACCAAGGCGACGAUCCGUAACUGGUCUGAGAGGAUGAUCAGUCACACUGGAACUGAGACACGGUCCAGACUCCUACGGGAGGCAGCAGCGGGGAAUAUUGGACAAUGGGCGAAAGCCUGAUCCAGCCAUGCCGCGUGUGUGAAGAAGGUCUUCGGAUUGUAAAGCACUUUAAGUUGGGAGGAAGGGCAGUAAGUUAAUACCUUGCUGUUUUGACGUUACCAACAGAAUAAGCACCGGCUAACUUCGUG